rnacentral:tRNA from 2 species
GGGCUCGUAGCUCAGCCGGUUAGAGCGCCGGUCUUAUAAGCCGGAGGUCAGGGGUUCAAGCCCCCUCGGGCCCA